AUUUUAUUUUGCUAGGUAAUGGCACAAACAACAACAACCAUCUCAGCCACUAUUGUUUCAUAAGUGAAAAGACAUGUCAUCCUCCAUAAACAGAGAAGACAUUAUCUCUGUAUACAUGACAGUCUUUCCCCAAAACGACAUCAGGAACCUCCUAUCAACAUAUGAUCCCUCCUCCCAACACACACACACACACACACACACACGCGCGCGCACACACACACACACAUACACGCACACACACACCUACCUGUUAUUUUCCUCGUUUCAUAACAGAAAUGUAAAAACUCGGUUUUGGAGGUGUCACUAGUGCUUCCCGCCGACUUCUAGGAGCGGCUGUCACAGAAUAUUGUGAGGUGCCUCCCUAGCAGCCCUGCGGUCUGGGAAUGAAGGAGCACACCCAGGGAUCGCCGUUAACACCCACGACUCCACCUGGACUAGUCCAGAUGCUGGCAUCAGAGCUGGCCUGCUGGCGGGGCUGGGCCAACCUACCAGCUGGCCAGUGGGCCAUCAAGCCUCUCUCUCCAGAACUUGAACAGAAUGAGAGGCUGUGUUUAGAUUGCAGAGCACAUUAGGGGGUGGGAUAAUCACUUUGAAACAUAAACAAUCGAGGUAGAGAAACGCAGGAGAACAGGACAAAGGGAAAAGGCCAGGUGGCCCCAGAGGAGGAAAAGUGAGCUGGAACCGUAUCCCCAAAGCCUUUUCAGGUCUAACCUCGUUUCCCACGAGGCCCGGCUGCGUUUCCGUGUCUGUGUCAGUGACACGCCCUCGUGCCUCUGAAGAACCUCCUCAGGUUGACUGCUCAUUUCUUUCUGGCAACCAAAGAGCCUUGGCUAGUACUGAAGUCAAGACAAAAACAGUGAUCAUUGAUGUAAAUGAAAGGGACACAGGUAGAGAGAAGCAGAAAAGGAGCAGUGAGUAAAAUCUGGUGAGGGAUCGAACGUGGGCGUGAGAGGGACAUCACGGAUCACUCCGGGGUCUUGAUCUGGGGAGAGGAGGCGUGUCAGAAACAGAGAACAGGAACACGCAGGGGAGUUGCUGGUGAGAGCACGACAUCCACUGGAGGAGCCUGUGUAGCCAGAGAGCAGCCUGAGGGCGAAACCAGAACCUUCCCUUGGAGCCUUUCUGGAGGUGGGAGCAGGCUGAGUCACGGCUACCUGAAUCUGUGCCAGGGCCACACGAGAUGCUUCUCCACGUCACCCGGGCCUUCAGUCCUGCCAAGGCCAUCAGAAAAGCACCGCUGGGCCUCGUUUCCUGCUGUGAAGCUGUUGGUAGAGCAUCCUCAAAAGAGCCUUUCCAAUGGACCUUCCUUCCUGAAGGUCUAGUCCUGCUUGGUUCACGACCAUCACAAAAGAGGCUCAAAGCGCCAAAGCUUCCUGAAAGAGGCGAUUCCUUUUCUCCGGAGCUAUCCAGGAGAAGCGUGGAAGAUCUAACGGCUAAGAGCUGAGUAACCUGGAACUCAGGGAGCAUGGUCAUGGGAGCGUCACUGGGCAAGUUAAAGGAGAAAACUACCAUCCGCUCCCUGCAGGGGCUGCCCCCCAAGCCUGUGCUGUUCUGUCUGGUGAGUAUCCCCCCGGCUUCCUAAUGCGCGAGGUCUAGCUUCCCAUAGGUCUGAGUCACGCUGUGGACUAGCCUCGGGUAUACUGGAUGGUUGACAGCUGUGAUCGUCCGAAACCAUGGUUUUGUCGUGCAUUUUUCAAAUGUGGUCUUUCCUACUUUUUAUCACGGAUGCCAGAUUUUCCUCCUUCUCCCAAAGUUAUCUUUAUAUAUGCACAUGUGUGCACACUCACGCACACACACACACACCCCUGUAUCUGAGUGGGGGGAUGUGGAGAUGGGAGACAGCAAAAGCGCAUGUUAAAUUCAAGUGAUCGUGUGUCUUAGUUCCCGUUGCUAUAACAGUGUGCCACAGGCUUCGUGACUUAUAAACAUCAGACAUUUAUUGCUCACAAUUCUGGAGACUGAAACAUGGCAGUCAAGGUGCCAGCAGGGUUGGGUGAGGGCCCUCUUCCAGGUCACAACUUCUCAUUUUGUCCUUACAGGGCAGAAAGAGGAGGCAGCUCCCUGGGGUCCCUUUUACGAGGGCACUAAUCCCAUCCUGAGGGCUCCACCCUCAUGACCCAAUCACCCCCCCAAAGGCUCCACCUCUGAAUACCGUCACAUUGGAGAUUAGCAUUUCUACAUAUGAAUUUUAGGGGGACAUUCAGUCCAUUGCACCCAUUUCACUGAUUUUAGGAGGAACACUUUCUCGUGCUCUAGCCAUUCUGAGAUCUCUUAUUCUAGCUGUGAAGUAGGCAGCUGUGUGUCAUAGUGUUGCUGGUACUGUAUGGGCAUCAAAGCUUAGAGAACGGGUGUCAGAGGUUUGGAGGAAAAUCCUGAAGACAACUGUGGAGCACUUUUAGAAGAAAUACGGCCUUACCAAAAUUCUCCUGAAAGCCCUCGAUGGCUCAUAGGACAGUGGUGGAUGGAAAACAUGGAUUCCAGAGGUCCUGCCUCAAAUGUGAUUCCAAAGAGGUAGAUUCUGCAUGGGGAAAAGUUUUAGGCAUACUUAACCAAUUUAUUUAGCCUCUAUUUCCUUUCUGUGUAUGCAGAAGAGUGAUACAUGAUAUAAUACAAUACGAACAGGUCUAAAAGAGUUCUUUUAACACGUUUAAAAUAAAAAUUCUAAGUGCUAAGAAAGCACUGUGACACAUACAGUGAGAUGGCAACAAUUUCCCUUGCUUGGUGUUUCAUUAAAUAACACCGAAGGAGCCUCAGAUUACAUGAAAUACAGUAGUAUUUGUUUUCUGUUUCAAUAAUCAUCAGUCUGUUUCUAAUCUAUUCAUGGAGAAAUAUGUGAGCCAUCUUGCCAUGAAACUAUUUUCGAAAUCUCAUGGAAGCCUACCAAGGUUUCACAAAUUAGCUAAGAAACUUGCUUGCUUUCGAGAGGGGAGUUUCCGGCACUAUAAGCCUAUGUUUCUGGGUGUAUUUUUGGUUAGCUUUUGUUAACCCUGGCUUUUGUCUAAAACAAACAAACAAACAAAUGAAAAAUAUAUAAAUAGGUGAAAUUUAUAAGUAAAGGAAAUACAUAUCAAGCAAAAUUAAAAUGCUUGCAUUACAAAACGUGCAAUUUGGAGAACGAGUGGUCGUUUGUGCAACGUCGGUGUGGCUUUGAUAAAGAUGUUUCAGUUCAAAAGCCUGGCCAGUCUGCUCCUGCACUAACUGACCCGUGGUUAGGGAUGUGUGUCCUUGAGUGCCCUUGGAUUUAUUUAUUAAUAUAUUUAAAUAGAAAAAAAUGUAACCUUGGGACUUCCCCGGUGGCGCAGUGGUUAAGAAUCCGCCUGCCAAUACCGGGGACACGGGUUCAAGCCCUGGUCCAGGAAGAUCCCUCAUGCCGCAGAGCGACUAAGCCCGUGCGCCACAACUACUGAAGUCUGCGCGCCUAGAGCUUGUGCUCUGCCAUAAAAGAAGCCACCGCAAUGAAAAGCCCACGCACCAUAAUGAAGAGUAGCCCCCGCUCUCCUCAACUAGAGAAAGCCCGUGCACAGCAACGAAGACCCAACGCAGUGAAAAAUAAAUUA